rnacentral:RNase_P_RNA from 1 species
GAUAUAGACCGUCUUAUCGUGCUGACGUUUACAGUCAGUAAGGAAAGUCCGGGCACCACAGGGAAGCAUAGCGGCUAACGGCCGUCACUCUGACCAUUGCGUCAGUGGAGGACAAGUGCAACAGAAAGAAUGUACAGAUAAUGCUGUAGUGAAAUCAGGUAAACUCUAUGCGGUGAAAUGCCACGUAUACUUGUGCUUGAGGGUACCCGCCCGAUACAAGAGGGUAGGCAGAUUGAUCCUGACGGUAACGUCAGGACUAGAUAAAUGAUAAGAUCAUCCCAAAGGGGAGUAGACAGAACCCGGCUUAUAGGUCUAUAUCUUUU